GCGAAGGUGGUGGAACUGGUAGACACGCUGGUCUCAGAAGCCAGUCCUCUUUGAGGUUGGGGGUUCAAGUCCCCCCCUUCGCACCA
rnacentral:tRNA from 1 species